rnacentral:rRNA from 1 species
AACGAACGCUGGCGGCGUGCCUAACACAUGCAAGUCGAGCGAGAAAGUCCCUUCGGGGGAGAGUAGAGCGGCGGACGGGUGAGUAAUACAUGGAUAAUCUCCCCUCGAGUUUGGGAUAACCCUGCGCAAGUGGGGCUAAUACCGGAUAAGACCACAUGACAUCUGUCCCGGGGUAGAAGGUGGCUUAUAUUUAUAUGAGCUAACACUUGAGGAUGAGUCCACGGCCUAUCAGCUUGUUGAUGAGGUAAGAGCUUACCAAGGCUAUGACGGGUAGCUGGUCUGAGAGGACGACCAGCCACACUGGGACUGAGACACGGCCCAGACUCCUACGGGAGGCAGCAGUGGGGAAUAUUGGGCAAUGGGCGAAAGCCUGACCCAGCGACGCCGCGUGGGUGAUGAAGGCCUUCGGGUUGUAAAGCCCUUUCGUGCGGAAAGAACAGCCCUGUAGUUAAUACCUGCAGGGUUUGACGGUACCGCAGGAAGAAGCACCGGCUAACUCCGUGCCAGCAGCCGCAGUAACAC